GAUGAACGCUGGCGGCGUGCCUAAUACAUGCAAGUAGAACGCUGAAGGAGGAGCUUGCUCUUCUGGAUGAGUUGCGAACGGGUGAGUAACGCGUAGGUAACCUGCCUGGUAGCGGGGGAUAACUAUUGGAAACGAUAGCUAAUACCGCAUGACAACAGUUAUUGCAUGAUAACUGUUUAAAAGGGGCAACUGCUCCACUACCAGAUGGACCUGCGUUGUAUUAGCUAGUUGGUGAGGUAACGGCUCACCAAGGCGACGAUACAUAGCCGACCUGAGAGGGUGAUCGGCCACACUGGGACUGAGACACGGCCCAGACUCCUACGGGAGGCAGCAGUAGGGAAUCUUCGGCAAUGGACGGAAGUCUGACCGAGCAACGCCGCGUGAGUGAAGAAGGUUUUCGGAUCGUAAAGCUCUGUUGUAAGAGAAGAACGAGUGUGAGAGUGGAAAGUUCACACUGUGACGGUACCUUACCAGAAAGGGACGGCUAACUACGUG
rnacentral:rRNA from 1 species